rnacentral:misc_RNA from 1 species
GUUGACUGCAGUCUUUGUCAAAUGACUUUCGACCUGUGAGACAACAAUUUCAUUUCCACUCACAGGGUCGUCUAGACUCUUUUGCUUCCCUUGUUUCCGUGCACCAGAUGGCUUAGCACCUUUUGUAAUCUGCUUUUCAUUUCCAGAACCAAGAGCACUACUUGCAGAAGUUAACUUUUCCCUUUCGUUCUCUGAAUAAAC